rnacentral:rRNA from 1 species
UUUUUUGGGAGGUAGUGACAAUAAAUCACAAUGCGGGACUAUCCGUCUUGCAAUUGGAUUGAGAACAAUGUACAACUCUUAUCGAUAAGCCAUUGGAGGGCAAGUCUGGUGCCAGCAGCCGCGGUAAUUCCAGCUCCAAUAGCGUAUAUUAACGUUGUUGCAGUUAAAAAGCUCGUAGUUGAAGUGUGGGUGAUCGCUGUUGUGAGACUUCGGUCUCUCGACAGUAAGUCACCCCCUUCCAGUAUCCAGUAGUGGGUAUUCAGUUACUUACUAUUGUGUGUUGGUCAUUUACUGUGAGAAAAUUAGAGUGUUCAAAGCAGGCGUUUGCUUGAAUAGAUUAGCAUGGAAUAAUAAUUGAAGGCUUUCGUGUUCGAUUUGAUUGGUUUGUUCAUGGAAGCAAGGUUAAAAGGAACAGUUGGGGGUAUUCAUAUCACUAGUAUUAAAGAGGCUGUCUGUC